GUGGCCUGUGGCUCAGUGAUAGAGCAUUUGCCUGGCAUGUAUGAGGCCCUGGGUUUGAUUCUCAGCGCCACA
rnacentral:tRNA from 1 species